AUGCAUCUCUGAUAGACCUGGAGUAGUUCAUAUCUGCUGCUAAAGUUUCCACUACAGAUACAAGAAAAAGAAGGUCAUAACAUUUCCAUCUGUUUGCUUGUAGCAACCAAGAUUGAAUGAGAGAAUACAGGA
rnacentral:snoRNA from 1 species